rnacentral:rRNA from 1 species
GACGAACGCUGGCGGCGUGCUUAACACAUGCAAGUCGAACGGUGAAGCUCCAGCUUGCUGGAGUGGAUCAGUGGCGAACGGGUGAGUAACACGUGAGCAACCUGCCCCAGACUCUGGAAUAAGCGCUGGAAACGGCGUCUAAUACUGGAUACGAGAUCAAGCCGCAUGGUUAUGGUCUGGAAAGUUUUUCGGUUUGGGAUGGGCUCGCGGCCUAUCAGCUUGUUGGUGAGGUAAUGGCUCACCAAGGCGACGACGGGUAGCCGGCCUGAGAGGGCGACCGGCCACACUGGGACUGAGACACGGCCCAGACUCCCACGGGAGGCAGCAGUGGGGAAUAUUGCACAAUGGGCGAAAGCCUGAUGCAGCGACGCCGCGUGAGGGAUGACGGCCUUCGGGUUGUAAACCUCUUUCAGCAGGGAAGAAGCGAAAGUGACGGUACCUGCAGAAGAAGCACCGGCUAACUACGUG